CUGGGUUGCUCACAGGGCAAUUUAUUGUAUUAUUGCAGGUGUCCAGAAGAUUUGCAGAACAGACUCACGGGUGCACAGUGGGUGUACUCUCUGCCCUCAGGGGGUUUGCAGAGGAUGGUCUGCAGGUGCUGGAAGUCAAAGGAUCAUCGAUCAUCGCCUCCUCAGAAAUUCCUCUGCUGCCUUGAGAAGACUGUUGUAACCACAGAAGCCUCUUCCUAACAAUGGCUAUAGGAUUGCCCAGAAUUAUUUCUUGCAAAGACCCUGAAAUUGAAGUUGAAAUUGCUUUAAGAGGAUGAUAUGCUUGCCUGAAGAUGCCUAGUUGCUAUCAGCUCAUUUGGAUUACUGAACAAGCCUUCCUCCACCCUGCAAAACACUGAUUUCUUCACAAAGCUGAAAUUUUAGUGCUUUGAGUUUAACCAUGUAUUUAGUGUGUAAACCUAGAAAAGCAUUUUCUAGUGCAGCUAUUUGGUGAGACUCUGUGUUUUGGAGGCUUUUUUCCAGGGAAUGCUGCACAAUAAUGAAUACCGAAUAGAAUGCAGGUAAAUUUUAAUGAGUAGCGCUUGUGUGCUGAACAUAUGUUGAAAUGAAUGCAUAAUUAAAAAAGAUUUGUUCAUGAAGGUUCACCUGAGAUUUGAGUAGCAGCAACCUAAAAUGAACGUUGCUGUUCUUGAUGUAUGCCAAUUUGUCAAGAUUUCUGAGCAUAGAGCAGGAACAGCAAGGGAAACUUGCUUUGCUGUAAAAUAUCAGUUGUAUUAAUUUGCACUAGAAUUGGUCAAUCUUUGAAGCAAAGUGAAGCUUUGAAGAGAAGAGUUGAAUUAAAUAAUUGCAAAUAAUUGUAAUAGUAUUUUUAUGUGUUAUGCCUACAGAAAGACUAGAUAGCACUGAUGGAUGCACAUUUCUUACGGCAAGAGGCUCAGUACUUGACUAGAAUGAAAGAAACAUUACUGCUUUGCAUAAGGUGGCUUUCCAAAGCCCAGCUCGUUUAUAUGUAUGUAGCCUCCUAACUUGCUGUUUUGUGUUUUCCUGCAUCUUAUUUACAUGGUAUCUGCUUUGUGUCAACUAUUCAUAGCAAACGUGGUUUUUACUUCCCACCUUGGAUGCAGCCAAAUAAUGUAUGUUAACUAUCCAUGAAGUAAAUUAUGAUGUUUAGAUUAAUUAUUGAGCCAAGAAGCCAAGUAAUAUAUGUGUAUAAAUCUUUCUGGAGAUCGAAGUCAUGGUAUGGAUUGUGGUUUAAAUAACUUUUUUC